GCGACAGCUCACGAUGCCCGCCUACUGGCGCCCUAGCAACCGGGUUGCGAACCAUGUUCUAUCCCGACUAAGUGGCCGUCCUGGGAGUUAUAGUGCCACUAGCCGGCCUCGGCUGUUCCCUGUCCGAGGCUCUUGUCAUUUCCGCUUAUUUCCUCCACGGGUGCCGAUUUCAUGUGUGUGUUCCCGAGUGCCUGAGCCGGCUCCCGAAAUGAGUACUCGUGGUUUCCGCGUGGGAACCAACCUCGAGCGCCAGUGGCCCGCCCUCUCCGGGCUGAGGUGGCUGCUGAGGCUGGGGCUGCUCCUGAGGCUUCAGGGCCGCCCGCUGCACGGCUUUCUACCUUCCCAGGUUAGCCGCGGUCAACUUCUGCCAGGCGGAGCGAGAAAUCGCAUUUUGUCAGAAUUGUCUUUGCUGAUCUCUUUAUUAUGAUGAAAAUUCUCUGGAUGGAAGGGUCAUCAGCUGCCGUCUCCUUUGCUACUCUGCUAGAUAUCCUUACAAUUUGGUUUAGAAUUUUAGUACCACUAACAUUUUUUGGUGCAUAUUUUGGAAAUAAAGAAAAGAUUAGUUGUCCAGUUCAGACAAACCAGAUCCCCUGUCAGAUUCCUCCAUAGAACUUCUUUACAAAACCACUUCUUGGCAUCAUAAUUGGUGGCAUUUUCCCCUUCGGCUGUAUUUUUAUUCAACUCUUUUUCAUUCUGAACAGUAUUUGAGACAGUUGGAUUUUUUUCCUGUUUCUGGUUAAUUGCUAAAAUCUACAGUGUGCUGAAGGUGGAGUAAAGUAUUUCCCCAAAGGAUUCCAAGCACAUCUCCCUUGCCCUUGAAUAUCUGUAUAUCUAUAUGAACAUCAAUUGAGAUAUAUAUGUGUGUGCCCCUAAUUACAUAAUUUUAAGCAUAUAUAUAAAAAUGUAAAAUCUCAUUGUCUGGCCUCAGUUUGUAUGACACAAAAUACUGAUUGUAUGGAAGAAAACAGAUUGGGAAACAGAUUUAUUCUAUAUCAUAUUUUCCUGAAAAGCUACCUUAAAAAGAUUUAAAUUAAAGCAAUUAGAGCAAGGGAGGCACAUUUCUUUAAAAAAUUAAAGUUGAGUACCAUACUGGUUUUUCAGAUGAAAUUUUCUUUUCCUUUUUCUCCUUCAUAUUGCUCAGAGCAUCUAAUUCCAUCAGAACUAUUGUCAAAUAAAUUUUAUGUAAAAUGUGUAUUUUUCUAAUGGGAGUUGAUUAUACAAACUGUAUUACACCUUUGUAUCUGAGUGAUCAUUUAAAAAUGCAUAUUGGUUUAGCACAUAGAGUUUAUGAAAUGCCAGAUAAUGCUCUUAUUCCUCAGUGAAAUCUGCACAUUUCUAGUUGUUGGUGGUCUAUUUCUGUUUGCUGUUCCUUGGAGGGGGGCUGAGAAUGUUCAAGUUUGACUUAGCUGUGUUUAAGUAAUAAAUCUUUGGAGUCAA
rnacentral:lncRNA from 1 species